rnacentral:miRNA from 1 species
CAUUCAACUUGAAUGGUUAUGCUGAAGACAGUCAUCGGCAUAACCAUUCAACUUGGAUGGUUAUGCCGUUGACUGUCUUCGGCAUAACCAUCCAA